rnacentral:lncRNA from 13 species
GUGUAUUGUCUUCCAUGUGUAUAAAUGUUCAGGUGAUUUUUGAGCUGACUCCGCAGCAAAGACUGUGGCACAGGACCCUGCUGAUACAGAACAGGUUGAGGGAGGAGCUUUCUCUACAGGAGUCUUGUACAAGAGUGUUCUAAAGGGAGCUCCUAUGGCCUUGCCCCCUAGCGUACGACUUCUCCCAUCGGAUAGACCAUGUGUCUUUCGGAGAAGAGAUCCCCGGCAUCAUCAAUCCUCUGGACGGGACAGAGAAAAUCACCAGCAACCGUAAGUUACUGAUCCUCCUCACCGAGACCAGGAAGUAAACACAUGAAUAUGUUCUUAUCAAACCUCAUUCAGCUGUUACUCAGUGUGUAGCUUCCAGCCUAUUCUGCUCAGCAUGGCGUCAUGAGUUUGCAGGGAGAAAAUGUAGCUAUUUGUAUCCAUUUGAAGUGGAUUCACUGCAGGCUUGCUUUCAUUCACUUGCCAUUCAAAGCAGCCUAGUUUCUCCAGGGGAAAGAACUGAAGCCCCCUAUUUCACCUUUCUGU